GUCCAACUGGUUGGUUCAUGGCAUAAUUUCCUUGAUGAGUCAGACUGUUUGGUUUGACUCACUUCAUUUCAGCAGGAAGGAGACAAAGAUCAGUCGGUUGUGGUGUCAUGCGACAUGAGGGACUCCAUAUAUGGUCCUGCAUUCAGAGCGGUUUAACCAGCACAGGAAACAGUUGGUCUCCAGUCUACUAUGGAUGAGGAGAGAGAAGAGGGGGGUCGUACCUCUAAAACCAC